UGGCCGAGGGCACGUCUGCCUGGGUGUCACA
rnacentral:siRNA from 1 species